rnacentral:rRNA from 1 species
GAUGAACGCUGGCGGCGUGCCUAAUACAUGCAAGUCGAGCGAACAGACGAGGAGCUUGCUCCUCUGACGUUAGCGGCGGACGGGUGAGUAACACGUGGAUAACCUACCUAUAAGACUGGGAUAACUUCGGGAAACCGGAGCUAAUACCGGAUAAUAUAUUGAACCGCAUGGUUCAAUAGUGAAAGACGGUUUUGCUGUCACUUAUAGAUGGAUCCGCGCCGCAUUAGCUAGUUGGUAAGGUAACGGCUUACCAAGGCAACGAUGCGUAGCCGACCUGAGAGGUUGAUCGGCCACACUGGAACUGAGACACGGUCCAGACUCCUACGGGAGGCAGCAGUAGGGAAUCUUCCGCAAUGGGCGAAAGCCUGACGGAGCAACGCCGCGUGAGUGAUGAAGGUCUUCGGAUCGUAAAACUCUGUUAUUAGGGAAGAACAAAUGUGUAAGUAACUAUGCACGUCUUGACGGUACCUAAUCAGAAAGCCACGGCUAACUACAUG